rnacentral:lncRNA from 1 species
AGAAAUUGGCAGUGACAUCCUCGGUCCCUCAAAUAGCAGCACGUUAUUUAAGGACAGUAUUGAUUUCUGCAGCCAGAGCCUCCUGCUGCCAAACCAGACUUGAUCACAAAACUGGAACAGAGAGCUGCGCCCUGGAUCAAGGACCCUGAUGGGUUAAAGCCAGGGAAAAGUCCCUCCCUAGGGAGAAAGAAGAGGGUGGUGGUGAGAGAAGCCAACAGCCAGACCCGGGCCUCAGCUAUAGAGUCCAUCUCACACGCAGCCUCUGUGGAGGCAGGUGACACGCACUGCCCUCCCAGCAUGUGUGGAGGAGAAGUGGACAGACCCAGGAGUGUUAAGAGCGUAUACAGGCCCGGUUCCAUUCAAAGGUCAUGGUUUGGGCAGUUUCCCUGGCUAGUCAUGGACUCCAAAGAGACCAAGCUGUUCUGCUCUGUGUGCAUAGAAAGACC